rnacentral:rRNA from 1 species
GCCAGCAAUCAUAUCACCCUGUAACUGACAACUGGCAGCCCAUUGAAGAUAAGCAGUUGUGAGCCUGGUCAGUACCUGGAUGGUAGACCUCCUGGGAAAAAAGGUUGCAGCUGUAA